CGCCGCCCCUGUGGCCGUCGCCGCCAGCUCCUAGCUCCGCCAUGGUGCUCCGAUGACGCGCCCGGAGAGCCGCUCCGCCCUCUUCCCCGGCCUCGUUCCCGCCGGCCCCCCGCCUCCAGGGGCCGCGGCCCAGACAGAUUCUCCCUCCCCUGCGAAGACCAGUUCUGUUAGACUCUCCACGGGAGGCUGGACACAAAUAGAGCCACAGUCAAGUCUGUGUAUCUCGAAAGUCGGUGAUGGCCUUCCACAGCGCGCAGAGCAUCCCUCCCCUGUUUAAGACACAAGAACACGGGGAAGAGAAUACCUCAUUUGAAACACUGCUCUUGACAUAUACAAGUGACCUUCGCCUGGCGCCGCUCUGAUCAGAACACGGAGAUCCCAAAGUCUUAUCGGUCCUCAUGUAAUUCUUUCUGUGUUUUGUCAUUAUCCCUCCCUGCCUUUCCUUUCCAUUCCCCCAGACUACCAGUUCCCAAAGCAUCAUUUCAGGUUUUCAGCACAUUUGAAAUGGGUCUUUACAGAAUUCUGUGUGAGUCACUCAUGGAUGUGCUUGGCCUGAUAGAGAAAACUAUGAUAAGAAACUGUAUCACAUUAUACAUGUUACAGGAUGGCAAAUGGGAACCUGUCCUAUUAUUUCUAAUAAUUAUGGUAUAAUCAUGAACUAAAUGAGAGCAGUUGCUUAAGGCAGCUUAAAAAUAACUGCAUAGCCUCAGUCUACUUUAUUAUCAAGAGAUUCUUUGAGUUGAUUUGCAUUUACUAAUAUAGAAAUUUUGGUUAUAAGAGUACCCAGUAAUAGCCUGGGGAAACAAACUCCGUUUACGCAGAGCAAAUGUGAACCACAGAAUGGGCCCCAGGACUGCUGAGAUGGUAAGGGCUGGGGAGGGGCCCAGCCAGGGCAGGAGCCCAGACUUCUCAGCCCAGCGCUCUUUCCACCAAGAAAAAGGGACAUAAAGAAAAGAGUGGUACCUUAGUCUGAGGCAUUUUAAAUCAUCACGUGUAACAUAGUAGAGAACAUCCUCUAGUGAAUAAUCCUCAGCCAAAAACUGUGGAGAAAGUAAAACAUACACAAAAGUAAGACAUUUUAUAUAUACCUUUAAUAAAUAGUAAACUCUAUUCACAAUAUAAAUGGCAAUAAUUUAAAAAUGAAUCUAAAAGGAAAUCUACUAAAAACAAUCUUCUGGAGUGAUUAGGAAAAAGUCCCCCCAUUACAAAACAAAGAAUACAUCCAUAUGACUUCCAAAUGCGUAGAGAUCACAAGCAACGUAAUUUCUGAAUGGCCUUCUAAUGAACAGAUAAAACUCAUUUGUAAUUACAUCUGCUGUUUGUAAGAUAACGUUUGUAUAUUUUUUUAACUUAUUGAAAUUCAAUUAGUUAACAUAGAACGUAUCAUUAGUGUCAGAUGUAGAGCUCUGUAAUUCAUCAGUUGCAUUUAACACCUAGUGCUCAUCACAAAACGUGCCCAUCACCCAAUUACCUCAUCCGCUCCCCCAUAAUGUUUAUAUUUGAGAGGUUUUUUGCUGUGUAGCUUUAUUUUUCUCAAGUGGAUAAAAAGUGUUCCUGAAAAGGUAUUGUUUACACUUAAUUUCUGAAUUUGUUUUUCACAGCUGAUAAAAGGUAUUUUUAAAAUAAUAACUAUAAAAUCAGAGUCCUGAAUUUAAACUGAAGCUUUAAUUUUAAAUAAAAAAAUCAAUUUUUUAUUGGAUCAUCAAUUACUACUCUUUAAUUGUGACUUGAGUCUUAGUUUGAGAAAUAAAUAUUUCAGAGAACUUGAAUGGACACAUCAUUCUCCAUAAGCAAGAGAGUGGUUUAGGUAGCAGUAACUUGUUCAAAGCAGAUUUCUAAGGAAACCCUAAAUUCUAUUUAGUAGCCCAAUGAAUUAUCAAGUGAAGAGGAAAAAACCUUUAUUCUUUGUUAUUUAAAAAAUUUAAACAUAAAUCUAAAAUUAAUGUAAUAUUGUAUUGGGGCCCUUUCUAUAAAAUAAUAAAAAAUAUAACCUCUUCUUGUGUGUAUGUGUGUAUACAUGUAUGUAAUCUUCAAACAUAAGUGCUACUCCUCCCGCCAAUUUCCCAAAGUUUGUAAGGAGCAGAGAGGAAUCAGGUCAUUAUAGAUCUAGAAAGUGUUCCUGACACAAGUUGACUAACUAGGUCUAUUUUAUUAAAUAUUAAUAAAUAGCCACUGCCCAGUAGAGUCUAAUAAUGUUGUGAGAGAACUAAAGAGUUAAAUAAAAGAGAGAAUUAGAAACUUUACAA